rnacentral:rRNA from 1 species
UACGUAGGGUGCGAGCGUUGUCCGGAAUUACUGGGCGUAAAGAGCUCGUAGGCGGUUUGUCGCGUCUGCCGUGAAAGUCCGGGGCUCAACUCCGGAUCUGCGGUGGGUACGGGCAGACUAGAGUGAUGUAGGGGGAGACUGGAAUUCCUGGUGUAGCGGUGAAAUGCGCAGAUAUCAGGAGGAACACCGAUGGCGAAGGCAGGUCUCUGGGCAUUAACUGACGCUGAGGAGCGAAAGCAUGGGGAGCGAACAGG